rnacentral:tRNA from 1 species
GCCUUCGUGGUGUAGUGGUCUGCGCGCUCGACCCGUAACCGAGAGGUCCGUGGUUCGAUUCCCGGUCAAGGCA